UUUGUUUCUGAAUGCCACUGUCCGCACGAGACGCAGCAGCGCGGGAGGCGAGCCAGGAGCCAAGGCGCCGCUCCGUCUCUCAGGGGAUCGCCGGCGACCGCCCGCCCCGACCUGCACCUGGGCAGCGCAGCACUGCGCCCGGCCUUCUUCUGCCCAUGGCGCAGAAGAUCGCAAGGAGCGACUGAUGCUAAACCAGCUGGAUUCGAGCCGCACCUGCAUUCGCCCCUCGAGCAGCUGCUUCCGAGCGGGGCGACCCACGCCACGCUCGAGGAAUCCUCUCCAGCCAAAAUGGCGCCAGGCUCUGAUGCUCCAUGGUAACCACGCUACUCACGACGGCGGCCUGCUCAUCUCACUUGCCCGCUCCUGCAUUCGGGGUCGGGCGCCCUGCGGGUGUUCGGUGAAAUGCCCCACCAGGGAGAUUGCGCCGCUGGCGUCCGAUACCCCCCCUGGAUUCAAGCAACUCCGACGCCCUCCCCUGCAUAUUCAAAGCCUGACGGAGUACCAGUAUUUUACCCCCACUGUUGUAAUUUUUUACAGCAACUCUGACAGAGUGCUUAGUACUGUAGUACUGUAGUACAUACUACUGCUCUACCCGAUGUGAGCGGAGUCAGAUCGUCGUGAAAGGGACGAAGCAUGCAUCAAGCCAACGGGCAAGUCUUCCUCCGGUCAAAUAACCUAGGAAAGAAAUUAGUACUAGUAUACUAGUUUUUCUUGAAAACAUCAUGAGGUCAGUUGAAUGCAGGUUGUUUAUCUAGGAAGGAAAAACACCAGUAUUUGCAA